UAUUUUAAAUAGUUUUAUAAUGUUAUUUGUUAGAAAUAUAUUUAUAUUAGUAGCGUGAGCAAAAUUUUAUUUUUACUAUAGAUUAAUAGUACUGUGAAGGAAUCUUGAAAUAUUUGAAAAGUUAAUAUGAGGAUAGUACUUAUUAAUUAAGGUACCUUUUGUAUCAGUGGCUAUUAAAAUUAAGUUGUAAGAUUUUAUCUCGAAAAUAAAAGAUCUAUGUUAAUUAUGGAGUUUUUGUAUCAAAAAAAUUUUGGAAAUUAGUAUAGGGGUGAAAUAUUAACCGAUUUUAUUAAUAUCUAGUAACUUUCGAAAUAAAUUUAGUUUAGGAUUUCUUAGAAUAAUUUAAUUUUUUAAUUUUUUUUAAGAUAUUCUUAGUUUUCAGGGGAUGAGCUCUGGAAAUAAUUUAUAAGAAUCAAGAUUUAUUAUUUUUUGUUUAAGCUUAGAAUUAGCUAUAAGAUAGUGUUAUAAGAUAGAAGUUUAAGAUUAGGAUUUAGUAUUCUUUAUGCGUGAAGGGAGUUAUCUUUUAAAUAGGUUUAAAGGAGUAAAUAUGAUAGCAUUAGUAGAUUGGUUUGUAUUAUAAUUUUUAUUUGAAUUAAUUAGAAAUUAUUUUUAAAAAUAAUUGUAUUAAAAGAAUUCGGCAAAUAUGAUUUCCGAAUGUUUAACAAAAACAUUUCCUCUUAGUUUAAGAGGUAAGGCCUGCUCACUGAAUUUUAAAGAGCCGCAGUAUUUUGACUGUGCUAAGGUAGCAUAAUCAUUAGUCUUUUAAUUGGGGACUGGUAUGAAUGGCUAAACGAGAGAUCUGCUUUUUUUAUUACAUAAAUUUAAUUUAACUUUUUAGUGAAAAGACUAGAAUGAUUUAGAAAGACGAGAAGACCCUAUAGAGUUUUAUGUAAUAAAAUAUUUUGUUUAAUUGGUUUUAUAAGAAUGAAUUAUGGUUUUACAUUUUGUUGGGGCGACAUUAAGAUAAGAAAAACUCUUGAUUUUAAAUACCUUUAUAAAGGAAUAAUUUGAUCCUCUAAAAGAGAUCAAAAGGAAAAAUUACCUUAGGGAUAACAGCGUAAUCUUUUUUGAGAGUUCAAAUCGACAAAAAGGUUUGCGACCUCGAUGUUGGACUAAAAUUUAAGCAAGGUGUAGCAGUUUUGUUUUAGGGUCUGUUCGACCCGUAAUAUUUUACAUGAUCUGAGUUCAGACCGGCGUGAGCCAGGUUGGUUUCUAUCUUCUAAUUUUUUAUUAUUAGCUUAGUACGAAAGGAUUGGUUAAUGGUAAUUUUUACAAUGUUUAAUGAGUAUA
rnacentral:rRNA from 1 species